GACGAACGCUGGCGGCGUGCUUAACACAUGUAAGUCGAGCGAUGAAACACCUUCGGGUGCGGAUUAGCGGCGAACGGGUGAGGAACACGUGAGGAAUCUGCCUUCCACUCUGGGAUAACUCCGGGAAACCGGGGCUAAUGCCGGAUAUGAAACCUGCGGGCAUCCGCGGGUUUGGAAAGUUUUUCGGUUGAAGAUGAUCUCGCGGCCUAUCAGCUUGUUGGUGAGGUAAUGGCUCACCAAGGCGACGACGGGUAGCCGGCCCGAGAGGGCGACCGGCCACGCUGGGAAUGAAACACGGCCCAGACUCCUACGAGAGGCAGCAGUGGGGAAUAUUGGUCAAUGGAGGAAACUCUGACCCAGCGACGCCGCGUGCGGGAUGAAGGUCUUCGGGUUGUAAACCGCUUUCAGCAGGGAAGAAGCGAAAGUGACGGUACCUGCAGAAGAAGCACCGGCUAACUAUGUGCCAGCAGCCGCGGUAA
rnacentral:rRNA from 1 species